AACGAACGCUGGCGGCAUGCCUAACACAUGCAAGUCGAACGCCUGUAGCAAUACAGGAGUGGCGCACGGGUGAGUAACGCGUGGGAACCUGCCCUGGGAGUGGGGGAGUAACCAGAGAAAUUUCGGCUAAUACCGCAUACGUCCUGAGGGAGAAAGAUUUAUCGCUCUAGGAGGGGCCCGCGUCGGAUUAGCUAGUUGGUGGGGUAACGGCCUACCAAGGCAACGAUCCGUAGCCGGCCNGAGAGGGCGGUCGGCCACACUGACACUGACAUACGGGUCAGACUCCUACGGGAGGCAGCAGUCGGGAA
rnacentral:rRNA from 1 species